GACGAACGCUGGCGGCGUGCUUAACACAUGCAAGUCGAACGGAAAGGCCCUGCUUGCAGGGUACUCGAGUGGCGAACGGGUGAGUAACACGUGGGUGAUCUGCCCUGCACUUCGGGAUAAGCCUGGGAAACUGGGUCUAAUACCGGAUAGGAGCCAUUUUUAGUGUGAUGGUUGGAAAGUUUUUUCGGUGUAGGAUGAGCUCGCGGCCUAUCAGCUUGUUGGUGGGGUAAUGGCCUACCAAGGCGGCGACGGGUAGCCGGCCUGAGAGUGUGGACGGCCACAUUGGGACUGAGAUACGGCCCAGACUCCUACGGGAGGCAGAAGUGGGGAAUAUUGCACAAUGGGCGCAAGCCUGAUGCAGCGACGCCGCGUGGGGGAUGACGGCCUUCGGGUUGUAAACUCCUUUCGCUAGGGACGAAGCUUUUUGUGACGGUACCUAGAGAAGAAGCACCGGCUAACUACGUG
rnacentral:rRNA from 1 species